UAGUCACAAAGUUUUCAAAGAACACAUAAUAUAUAUGUGAGAAAUGUAGAUCAAAAAACUGUUUGAGAUCAAUUGACUCUGCAUUCUCGAUGAGGACGCGCAGAUGCUUGAGGCGGGUGAGCGGGUCCUUGCGGGUGUCCAGCACCUUCUGCGUGGACUUCCGCACAUCCCCGUGCGGCUUCUUGGAGAACAUCCCGUCGGGCCCGGCCCCGGCGCCGCGCUCCAGAGGCGGGCAGCGGCCUCCGGAUCCGCCCGCACCGGGGCCCUACAUAGCCGGCGGCGGCGCCGCCUCCUCCUCCUCCUGCUGCCGCCUCCGGCGGGGCGGAGCGCGGCGGGGCGGGGGGGCGCAGAGCCAACUCCCCGCGGGCCAGGGGGUGGCCCGGGCCUGGACUCCCCCCUUCCUCCUUCCCUCGUUCUCCUCCCGCUGCUUCACGACAGCCGUCAGGUGCGACCCCAGGCGUCGCUAUGGCAACCGCGCCGUGACGUCACGGCGGCGCUACCCGGCGCACCUCCGGGGCGCGGCGGGCGGAGGCCGCGGCUGUGUGGAAAACGUGGGGGCGCGGCCUGCCGGGGCUUCUGGCAGGGGGGUGCCAGGAGGGGGUGGAGAGUGGAAACCCAGCAGCAGUAACUGGGGCGACGCGCUGCCGUUCAGCUCUUUAAAAGUGCAGUAUAAAGUUAUCUGAUGAUUCGGGUGCUGCUGACUGUAUUACACCAAGAAACUGAAAUGGUGCACGAGAGGAAUCCCGCAGAGGACGCAGAAAUAAAAUCCAGGCCUGGACCAUAUUGGUGGAGGCCGUGGCUCCAAAGCUUAUAACCAAGCUCCAGUUGAGCAACAGUCAACGAUCAGCGAGCGCCCCACAGUUAUUUCCACACCGUGCUCGGAGUGCUGCAAUGCCUCACCCAGCCCCGCCGGGCCGCUCAGCACCGCCCGUGUUCCUGGCAGCACGAGGACACCCAGGGCGGGCCAACAGCAUCCAGCGUGAUGCUCCGCAGUGUGGUCCCGGCCUCGGCACUGCGCGCCUCGGGACACGCGGACCCAUGCUGGUCCUGGAGCAGAGUGAGACGCAGCCUCCGCAGGCCAUGCUUGUCAGGUCACAGUGAGGCCAGCAAGCAGCCGGCACUACGUGCUGUGUGCCACGUGAGCGCUGCUGCUGAGGGCUGAACUCAUCGUGCUGGAGAAGACCGAAGGUUUUCCUAAAAUCCCGAUGCUGGUUUACAAUCAUCAAAUAUAUAAAACAACGAGUUAUUGGACUUUUCAAUAGAACUGCAUUGUUUAUUUAACACGUGGUUUCUAGUGGCCUUCUGCUCUUUUUUUUUUUUUUUUGUUGUUGUUUUGCUUUGUUUUGUUUAAAAAGUCCCCGAUGCUUGAGUCUGUAUCAAGGAAACCCAGUUCCUCCAGUGAUGAGUGACUACAACAGCUGCAGCGUUUAAUAUAAGGAAUACUUAACUGUUUGAGACAUUAUAAAAUCAUUAGAGUUGUCAACAGAUUGAAGAAUAUAUGUACUACUGGAGUAACGUAAGCAUUUCAAUGCAUGACCCAUCAGUGACUAUCAUGAGCAGUAGGGCAGUGGGUUUCAGCCAACAUUAGGGAGUCAGUGCCAUCUGCUGAUGCAGUGUGCCACAAAUCAUUUCACAAUUCCAUCAUCCUGCUAAAUGAGAUCUGAGGAUUAGUGAUGUUAUCUAACAGCUACAAUUACAACAAUUUAUUUUACCAUAGCAGUGAAUUUAUCUCUGAAAGACCUGAUAACUCUACUAUAAACUAAGUGCUUUGUUUUCUACACAUUAUCAGUUCUAAACAUAAGGUUGUAUCUUGACAACCUUCAAGAACACCUUUGCUUUAUAGAAUUGACUUGCAUUUCUGGUAAUUUUUUAGGACUUUAAUUCAAGAUAGUGCUUAAAAAUAACGAACGGAAUAAGAUGUCACCAAAGUGGUAAAUGAAAGGAGGGAGUGGUUUUAACCAAGUUAAUAAUGGCUUCUACAGAGAACCUCCUCACUGAAAGCACACUGGGCAGGAAGAGCACGUUCUGUGCACAGUUAAGGCUGUGAUCUUGCAAAAGCUUGACUUUGAAGCAUGUGACUUCAAUGACUUUCAUUACGUGUGGAGGACAAAGUUAGAAAAUAGCAGGAUUAGUUAGGGGGAGGGGUUAGGUUGUACUACAUUCCAAGUGGAAUGUAGCGCCCGUGCUUCAGUAUUUGUUUGUGAACUAUCCUGAGUUAACAAUUUUUAGUUAACUUGACUGGCAACUAUUUACUUUGAGAAAAAAAAGACUCCCAAAUCUAAA
rnacentral:lncRNA from 1 species